rnacentral:lncRNA from 1 species
AAAAUUUAAUUAAAUAUUGGCAGUUCUGCAUAAAUGGAACAUUCAAUAAUACAACAAUCAAGGCUCAUCCCAUUGGUGGAGUUUGGAUACAUGGUCACAUUGAGCACCGUUGAUCUUAUGAAUUUGUCAAUCUUCUUAUAGCAUAAAAAUGUAAGUUUUCGAAAUUUUCUUAAAGCACAAAGUGGAAGUAAAUGUUCUAUGAAGACUACAAUUGAGUGUCUAUAAUCAGUCAUCAAUCUGAUUUGUAAAAAAAAAAAAAAACUCAAUCCAAUAGAAACCUCACCUCCAUUCGGUAACCAGCCCUUGAUGCACACAUGGCAUGGAAAUAAGUGGAACAUUUGCAGCACUGUGUGCACGAACCAUGUAUUUGCUUGCAAAUAACACAAAUCUGAAAUCCAAAUAAUGCAGACCUUAGAUUGCAUUUAUAGACUGAACCAAGAGAUGUAUAAAUGAUAAAAAUAUACAGAGAUCAGGAGUUUAGUUCUUUUUUGGUAUUCCAUGCUCGAUGAAAAAAAUAACCAAAUCUGAUAUCAUAUUUAUGAUGUGUAGUAGUGUGAACAAAUCUUACAGUGAGAAAUAUGCAAAGAAUGAAAUCACUUUUGCUGGUGACCAGCAUUACUUUACAAGGGAAAUUUUUAUUGGCCAAUAGCUCACCUUCACAAAAGAAUUUGAUGGAAUACUAAGAAUACCCAAAGCAGGUUCCAUCUUCUCAUCACUAGCGAACGAGACUUCAGGUCGAAACCAAGCACAGGUGACAUGAACCCAUAACGUGUCAAUAUCGGCUGGCUUUAGAGCACCACCUGGGAGUUAACAAAUAGUUUAAGAAAACAACAUUAUAGAUGUCAAAUGACAUGGCUAUGAAAAAAUGAUAUCUCAAUAUCUUCAUGAUAAUAACUUGAGGAUUUCCCCCCAAAAAAGAGAACAAAAAAACUUGAGCAUUUUUGUAAUAGUCAAACUUUUUGGAUGUCAUUAUUGAAUGACACAAUGUAUCAAAAUAUAACUCAUACUUAAAAGGGUGGGUAAAACUCAGCCAUGAUUUGUAAAACUGAAUUAUGAGCAUAUAUAAGUCAAAAAGAAUCAUUGAGAAUUUACAAAAAAACAGAACUUACAUUAUUGGAUGAUAAUGUAAGAUUGUUUCAACACAUAGCAGAUCAAGUUAAUAAAAUAGUGUAAAAAGGGGAAAAAGUUCUUAGCCAAGAAGAUUAAAAACUAAUUUAAAGUCUCUUUGUUUCAGAUUAUUUUAUGAUUUUUUUUUUUUUAAACGUAAUCAUUUUUAAAAUUUUCUAUUUGUUUGUUUCAGCUUUUAGAAUUAAUCAGAACCUGAAAAAAAAUCUGAAAUCUAUAUUUCUGAUUAUACUGAAAAUAUAUUUUUAGUAUUUUUUUAACAAAAAGAAUGAUUUUGAUUAGAGCAGUAGCUGAGAAAAAAUGUUAAGGAGUAAUUUUUAUGAUUACAAAAUAAAUAAAUUAAGUUUUUCUUUACAUAAAGUUCUCUAUAAAAUAGUCACUGUUAAAAAUUGUUUCUUUUAGAUAUUAAACAAACGGAUUCUUAUAUAGAAGAUUAACAGAAAUUUGAGGCAAGACGGCUUCAAAGAAUAGAAUUCACAAAGUAAAGGAGAGUCCAUAUCAAUCCAAACAAAUAAAAAGAUGAUG